ACGCAUCACGAAUAUUACAGUUGCCGUCCGAGAGCUCAGACUUGUUCACUGCUUUUUCAAUAGAUUCGCUUUGUCGACAAAACAAUAUGAAAAGAAUUCCUAAUCCGAUUGCUACCAAAACGGGAGCAUCCGUGCUCGCAGUGAUCAACGAGGGAGACUCUUAUCGCGAUUCGCACGACCGAUUUCUUAUAAUCAUGUCUCGAGCAUCAUGCUCUGGCACAAGAUUAUUCAACGUGCAUCUAAGGCGAAACAUCGAAAAUUCGAUGUUUUAUCCUUAAUGAGUGAUUCUUGAGAAGCUAUCGAUCAACUCAGUGGAGAGCGAAUUUUCUAAAUAUUCAAUCGUCAGCACCACCAAUUCUGUUGCCGAGCGAUGAUCCAGCAACGAAUUUCGUUUUAUACCGAUGGUAUUGAAGUUGGGACCGUUGGAAGUCUAUCGUUCCACGUGAUUAAAGCAGAUUCCAAAAAGCAACGUUUGUAAGUUCAAUUUAAAAAAAGUGCAUUUUUGGAAAGCAAAAAAAUAUGCGGUACUCCAGCGAUGAAAACUUCAAUCUCGCUCGUAUCUAACGCAGCGCUCGAAAGCCACGUAAACGUAAAGUACGCUUUCGGGUGACCUGAUUCAAGCAUUUGCGAAACGUCCAAAAAAAUCUUCGAAUAAAAUAUAAUGAAUAGAAACCAUUUGAAAAUUUUACGAAGAGCACUCGAGGGCAUAAUUCCUCUCGAAUUAAUUUUCAAAGUCACGAACGGUAUAGCGAGUUGACAAAAUUAUUAUGAUAAUUUGUGGUAAUAUUUGUAGUGAAAAUAACUUCACCUACAGAAAUGAGUUUAGUGUCAAAAUAAUUAGCCAAAAUGAUGCAUAUCGCUUAUGCGUCAAAUUUUCUCAUUAACAUACCUUUUCUUGAGUUCUAUUCCACACGAUUACGCUGUGACCGCUAUUGAUGAGGUUCUUGACGAUCCCACUGCCCAUUAUUCCGAGACCGAGAAAACCGAACUUCAGGGUCGAAGGGAGUAUGUUUUUCUCCUUCAAGGUCUGGGACAGAGUUUCCACGUCCAGGGGUGGUGUUACCUUUAGAACGUUGAAAAAAAAUUAUACAUAUACAUUCGUGUGUAUGUAUAUAUGUUGUAAAUCAAUGGCCUCAGGUAUUUCGACUGGGAAAUGUCGAACGGUUUACAGUUCAAUUACGAAUCGAAAAACUUAACAAUUGAAAUGUUUCUCGGUCAACCAUUUUUGAAAAUUCAAUAAAUUAAUCCGCUACUGCGCGUAACGAGAUGCUUCAUGAAUUUCAUAUUUGUCGAGUUCCCUGAAUAUUUUUUGAAUAUGCUUUUUUUUAUGAUUCUUUAGACCUAUCGCCACAUCAAUAUGUUUCUGAAAAAUAAGAUGCGAUCGACAGUAGGCGUGCAUUCAAUGAUUUUUCCUUUUUUGAUGAAUUUCUCUCGUUUAAAUUGUUUUAACCGCAAUCGAUCAAUAUUUAUGAUUAGAAACUCAAAAGUGUGAAAUAUCGCAGUUAAAAAAUAACUUGAAAAAUCCAAUCUUCUUUUUUCAAGAACGUUCACUCCUUUCAAAUUUCUUCGAAGCUUUAGAAAAAUUGUCAAAAGUUUGGAAACUUUUCCGAAUACAAUAUCAACAUUACAUUGACAACAUUUUUGGGAAAAGGCGGAAAAAAAUGAGCAAAGAAAAAAAAAUUACUUCGCUAUUCGUUAAUUAAUUACAGCUGUCACGACUUAUGUGCAACAAUUUUAUGAUUGUUUCAUCAUCACGUAUCAAUGUUUAAAACAACUCGAAGAUAACCGAUAUUCGAAUGAUUGAUGUUUUUUUACGGAGCAGUGGAGUAGUUUUAUACAAUUUCACUCGAGGGUGUUCGUUGAUAUGAACUUUGCAAAACAGUUGAAAAUUGUAUAAUUUCAAAUAAAUUUCUGAAACCGUCAGUAAUGAGUGUGGUUCCAACGAUCACUUAAGUUAAGCAGCUUGGGGCGAUACUCGGAUGGGUGACCGCAUAGCCACGCACCGUCAAGCGCAUCAGUCUCUGUGCGGAAGGCAGUUUUUCUGAGUUUCUGAUCGCCCCAACGAACUGAAACUCAAUAAAAAUAUAACCGCUUGUUUUGACCGGAUUUUCAGCAGUUUCUCUGGGCCCUCGUGCAAAUGCCAUAUGGUAAUUUGUUAGGGAAGAGUCACUGCAAGCAAGAUUGUAAGAGAAUCUCGCAGAAAUAGAACUGAGAAUAAGGAGAGUCGAGUGAACUCAUCCGUUGAAGCUCGGCUGAAUGAGAACCACUGCAAAGCGCGCUUGUAAGAUAGCAUCGUUUCACCGUCAUCCGGCUCAUGAAACGUGAAAUUUUAAGCUCACAAAUCCGUACAUUUCGAGAAUUGUGGAGUACAAAAAAAUUGCAACAUCAUUCUCAAAAAUUAAAAAAAUAAGUGAAUAAAUAAAUAGUUUUCAUAAUCUGAUGAAAAAAACCUUGUUUUUUUUACCAAAGUUAAUGCUUGUUGCAUGAGAAAAACCUAACAAUGUUUUCAAAAAGAAACGUUGACUCGAAACUAUUUUCCAUCAAAUAACACUCACUGAAUUUCAUUACAAAAAUUAUUUGGAUUGCUAAAACCUUGAAGAUACAAAAAGCAGAAAAAUCAUCAUUUUUUACAAUUUUUUUGUUUAACUUAAAAAUUUGAUUUGAGAGAAAGCAGAAAAAAAUCGUUUUCAAAAGUUGUCCACAACUUUCCAUAAUUUUUAAUGAAAACGCUUCGAUUGAAAAUUACCAAAAUGAAUUAAAUUCAUUGAUCAACGGAGCUCUUGAUCCGGAAUUGGUGAUUGAAAAUUUUUACUUUCGAGUGGAGAGAUUUUUUGAAUAUUCGUUUCAAUACUCAAAAAAUAAAAACGUUGGAAACGCUGUUAUAAAAAAAUAAGAACGAAACAAAAAAAUCGGUAUGACCAUUGUAUGAAAACUCGUUGCGAUUCUCUAAUGAAUGCAUUACUGGACAGUUCACAAAGAAAUACUUGAAUAAGAAAAAAACUAUAAUUAACGCUGAUGGUGUUUUUUGUAACGAGACAGAAGAAUUUGUUGGAAACAAACAAAUGAUUUCAAUCAUGAAUAAUAAUGAUAAUAAUAAGCGGUAGAUGAAGCAUUUUUCGAGGAUUUUGUUCCGUUGACUCGACAAUAAUUGGUAAACAAGCUGUGAAAUUUUGACUAUUUCUCGUCACAAAUGGUCGUUCAUUUAUUUGAAUUCGCCUGUUCGAAAAAAGGAACGAUUUUUUUGUAGCAAGAGAGCUUAUGUUUGAACGAAACCUUAAUUUUCCGAGACUUACAGG